rnacentral:rRNA from 1 species
GAUGAACGCUGGCGGCGUGCCUAAUACAUGCAAGUCGAGCGAACAGACGAGGAGCUUGCUCCUCUGACGUUAGCGGCGGACGGGUGAGUAACACGUGGAUAACCUACCUAUCAGACUGGGAUCACUUCGGGAAACCGGAGCUAAUACCGGAUAAUAUCUUGAACCGCAUGGUUCAAUAGUGAAAGACGGUUUUGCUGUCACUUAUAGAUGGAUCCGCGCCGCAUUAGCUAGUUGGUAGGGUAAAGGCUUACGAAGGCAACGAUGCGUAGCCGACCGGAGAGGGUGAUCGGCCACACUGGAAGUGAGACACGGUCCAGACUCCUACGGGACGCAGCAGUAGGGAAUGUUCCGCAAUGGGGGAAAGCCUGACGGAGCAACGCCGCGUGAGUGAUGAAGGUCUUCGGAUCGUAAAACUCUGUUAUUAGGGAAGAACAAAUGUGUAAGUAACUAUGCACGUCUUGACGGUACCUAAUCAGAAAGCCACGGCUAACUACGUG